rnacentral:rRNA from 1 species
UACAGAGGUCUCAAGCGUUGUUCGGAUUCAUUGGGCGUAAAGGGUGCGUAGGCGGCAGUGCAAGUCAGGUGUGAAAUCCCGGGGCUCAACCCCGGAACUGCACUUGAUACUGCUCUGCUAGAGUACUGGAGAGGAGACUGGAAUUUACGGUGUAGCAGUGAAAUGCGUAGAUAUCGUAAGGAAGACCAGUGGCGAAGGCGAGUCUCUGGACAGUUACUGACACUGAGGCACGAAGGCCAGGGGAGCAAACGGG